rnacentral:rRNA from 1 species
GACAGAGGGGGCGAGCGUUGUCCGGAGUCACUGGGCGUAAAGCGCGCGCAGGCGGCAACCUUAGUGUCGCGUGAAAGCCCCCGGCUCAACCGGGGGAGGCCAUGGCAAACUGGGUCGCUCGAGCUGCGGAGAGGCCCCUCGAAUUGCCGGUGUAGCGGUGAAAUGCGUAGAGAUCGGCAGGAAGACCAAGGGGGAAGCUAGGGGGCGGGCCGCAGGCUGACUUUGAGGCGCGACAGCGUGGGGAGCAAACCGG